GGGAAAGUUAAAUAGCAGUCGAAGGGCAACGGGGAGGUAGCAUACUUCCGCCGGCGACCGGCGCACGGGUGAGUCCUUUAAAGGAACCUGCCCGUACCAGGGGGAUAAGCGGAAUCCUUAAAAGUAAUACCGCGUAAUAACUCCGAGAGGCAUCUCAUGGAGUUUAAAGGGCAACACCGGCUACGGAUGUCCCUGAAGCGCUUUAGCUAGUUGGCGGGGUAACGGCCCAGCAGGGCGAGGAUGCGUAGGGGUUCUGAAAGGAAGGUCCCCCACACUGGUACUGAGACACGGACCAGACUCCUACGGGAGGCAGCAGUGAGGAAUAUUGGUCAAUGGGCGCGAGCCUGAACCAGCCAAGUCGCGUGAGGGAAGACGGUCCUAUGGAUUGUAAACCUCUUUUGUCGGGGAGCAAAAGACGCCUCUUGUGGCGUUCCGAGAGUACCCGAAGAAAAAGCAUCGGCUAACUCCGUGCCAGCAGCCGCGGUAAUACGGAGGAUGCGGGCGUUAUCCGGAUUUAUUGGGUUUAAUGGGUGCGCAGGCGGAAGAUCAAGUCAGCGGUAAAAUUGAGAGGCUCAACCUCUUCGAGCCGUUGAAACUGGUUUUCUUGAGUGAGCGAGAAGUAUGCGGAAUGCGUGGUGUAGCGGUGAAAUGCAUAAAUAUCACGCAUAACUCCGAUUGCGAAGGCAGCAUACCGGCGCUCAACUGAUGCUCAUGCACGAAAGUGUGAGUAUCGAACAGGGUUUAAUACCC
rnacentral:rRNA from 1 species